GAUGAACGCUGGCGGCAUGCCUAACACAUGCAAGUCGAUCGGUAAGGCUCUUCGGAGUACACGAGAGGCGGACGGCUGAGUAACGCGUAGGAACACACCCUGCAGUGAGGGAUAAGACACCGAAAGGUGUUCUAAUACCGCAUACGGUCUUCGGAUUAAAGCAUUUAUGCGCUGAAGGAGUGGCCUGCGUCAUAUUAGAUAGUUGGUGAGGUAAUGGCUCACCAAGUCGAUGAUGUGUAGCUGGUCUGAGAGGAUGAUCAGCCAGACUGGAACUGAGACACGGUCCAGACUCCUACGGGAGGCAGCAGUGAGGAAUAUUUCACAAUGAGCGAAAGCUUGAUGGAGCAAUGCCGCGUGCAGGAUGAAGGCCCUCGGGUUGUAAACUGCUUUUAUAAGUGAAGAUUAUGACGGUAACUUAUGAAUAAGGGACGGCUAACUACGUG
rnacentral:rRNA from 1 species